GACGAACGCUGGCGGCGUGCCUAAUACAUGCAAGUAGAACGCUGAAGCUUGGUGCUUGCACCGAGCGGAUGAGUUGCGAACGGGUGAGUAACGCGUAGGUAACCUGCCUGGUAGCGGGGGAUAACUAUUGGAAACGAUAGCUAAUACCGCAUAAGAGUAGAUGUUGCAUGACAUUUGCUUAAAAGGUGCAAUUGCAUCACUACCAGAUGGACCUGCGUUGUAUUAGCUAGUUGGUGAGGUAACGGCUCACCAAGGCAACGAUACAUAGCCGACCUGAGAGGGUGAUCGGCCACACUGGGACUGAGACACGGCCCAGACUCCUACGGGAGGCAGCAGUAGGGAAUCUUCGGCAAUGGACGGAAGUCUGACCGAGCAACGCCGCGGGAGUGAAGAAGGUUUUCGGAUCGUAAAGCUCUGUUGUAAGAGAAGAACGAGUGUGAGAGUGGAAAGUUCACACUGUGACGGUAGCUUACCAGAAAGGGACGGCUAACUACGUG
rnacentral:rRNA from 1 species